rnacentral:tRNA from 1 species
GCCCAAAUGGUGGAAUUGGUAGACACGCUAGUUUCAGGGACUAGUGGCCGUAAGGUUGUGGGGGUUCGAGUCCCCCUUUGGGUA